rnacentral:lncRNA from 1 species
UAACACUGCUGGGAAUUUUAAGUCUGAAUGAAGAGUUUUGUGUGGUUCUUAAUUGGGAGAGGAACCUGUCAAAAAUAAUAUAUUCGAAAAUACUCUGAACCAUCCCAGGCCCAGCAACACUGUAUAAACUGUCACACGGCUGGUGGCAGGUGGGUUGAUGUUCCCACAGUCCCCAAAGCUGCCAAGAGCAUCUUUCAGAAAUCUACUCCCUUGAAGAUUUCUCGCCUAGGUAUUAAAAGAGGUGGGGAGGGUCUAAGUGGGGGGGGACAGGAAGGAAUUAGAUGGCUGGGUGACUCCUGUGAAAUAGCUGAACUCUGACAGCUGAUUUCCAUUUAAUUUGGCUUAGGGACUCAUCUGCUUUGAAAUUGCAAGUUUUAGCAAGUUCGCAGAUCUCUUUCCUAGAUCUGGGCUAUAGAUGAUUUUUUUGGAGAACUAAUGAGAAGAGGAGCAAGAUAACCUGAGUGAAGAGGGUAAGGGAAACACGGGCAGGAGCCCUCUGAGCUUCCACGCAGAUGAUGUGGCUGUGUCCUGUGUCACUUUGCUUCUGUCUGCACACAGACCAGCAUUCUGUCCACCACGCCUUCCUCUCCCCUUGAGAGGUCCUGAGCACACAGACUGCAGGCAGCUUCCUGCACCUCUGCAAGUUCUUUCAAGUGAAUCAGGGGGAAGACAAAGAAUGAAUAAGUGUUGGCUACCAUUUUCCAUUAAGCCGUCUUCUCCCUCGUUUCAAGGUUUCCUAAAUGCGUUUUGUGCCGUG